UGUCCAGUAGCACCUUAGAGACCAACUAAGUAUCUGAAGAAGUGUGCAUGCACACGAAAGCUUAUACCCAGAACAUACUUAGUUGGUCUCUAAGGUGCUACUGGACA